rnacentral:rRNA from 1 species
ACGCUCGACACCUACGGGAGCAGCAGUGGGGAAUAUUGCACAAUGGAGGAAACUCUGAUGCAGCGACGCCGCGUGAGCGAAGAAGUAUUUCGGUAUGUAAAGCUCUAUCAGCAGGGAAGAAAAAGGACGGUACCUGACUAAGAAGCUCCGGCUAAAUACGUGCCAGUAGCCGCGGUAAUCUGAGCGGGCUGGCAAGGC